rnacentral:rRNA from 1 species
UACGUAGGUGGCAAGCGUUGUCCGGAAUUACUGGGUGUAAAGGGUGCGUAGGCGGGUGUCAAAGUCAGGUGUGAAAAACCACGGCUCAACUGUGGUCCUGCACUUGAAACUUGAUAUCUUGAGUGAGGUAGAGGUAAGCGGAAUUCCAAGUGUAGCGGUGAAAUGCGUAGAUAUUUGGAGGAACACCAGUGGCGAAGGCGGCUUACUGGGCCUUAACUGACGCUGAAGCACGAAAGCAUGGGGAG